rnacentral:rRNA from 1 species
GACGAACGCUGGCGGCGUGCCUAAUACAUGCAAGUAGAACGCAGUUGCGAACGGGGGAGUAAUGCGUAGGUAACUGCCUCAUCGCGGGGGAUAACUAUUGGAAACGAUAGCUAAUACCGCAUACUGUGAGAUGGACCUUAGUGGUAUUAGCUAGUUGGUGAGGUAAAGGCUAACCAAGGCGACGCUACAUCGGCGACCUGAGAGGGUGAGCGGCAAAACGGGGACUGAGACCCGGCCCAGACUCCUACCGGAGGGGGCAGUAGGGAUUCUUCGGCAAUGGACGGAGGGCUGACGGGGCAACGCCGCGGGAGUGAAGAAGGGGUUCGGAUCGUAAAGUUCUGUUGUUAGAGAAGCGGUAACUAACCAGAAAGGGACGGCUAAAUACGUGCAAGCAGCCGCGGUAAUUC